UGACUGGGUGUAGAAAAUUCUGUUGCUCUCUCCCAUCCUCCAUCGACAUCUCAUUCUCCGCCACCGCUUAAUCCUGGAUAACUACGGAGGGCGCCGCCUUGCGCACGUCUAAUACAUGGCCUGGGCGGUCGCUGGAUGUGGACGCGAAGGCGUCGGAUCGAGUGGCGCCGGUGUCAUGGCUGACGGAAUCGUUACCAGAGGCGGCGUCGGCCCUCGCUCCCCCUCCCCCCGCGCGCUCCAUCGGCGCAAGCCCUAGCCCGCUAUCAUUCUCUGCAGCCUCCUCUACGUUAGUUCCCUGCCGCCAUUGCCCCGGGCAUCGCGGUUCGACCUGAGGAGCAGUGUCUCCCGGCUGCGAUUGGCAAAGAGUACCGGGACGGAGGUGCUCGAGGAGUAGGACGGCGAGCGAUGUCCCGGGCGCGCUAGAGUCCCGCCGCCAUCGUCCGAGCUCAGCCACGCUCGCGGCGGCAAUCACGCGACGGAAAAUUUUUCUGAAUGGGCGAUAAGAUGAUUUCAGUUGCAUCCUGCUGUACAAAAUCUGCGUGGUCUGGUCUUCAAGUAGAGGUCUCCUGGAAAGUGGUAAGAGAGUACGUUCUUAUCUUAUGUUUCCUAUGUUUCUUUUCAAGCGAUCUGUAUCAGAGUAGCUAUACUAUUGAUCUGUUGUUUCUUAUGUGAAAUUUCGUAGGUUCGUAGCCUCUCAUGACUCAUGGUUUCGUUUCUCUUCAUGCCGCCAUAUUCUUCCGCACUUGGUUGAUUCCACCUCUUGUGUCUAACUCGAGGUGACCGGAUCUGUCCUAUCACAAGGACGCUCCGCCGGAGUGUAGAGCUGGCCGGCUCGGCCGCGCUCUCCAUUUGUGCCUCAUCUGUCGAUUUCGCCUCUUACGCAGCUGUUAGAUUAAUUUGUCUGGUUCAGUGGUUGCCUCUGCCCUGCGGCCGUUGCCGUACUUCACCUGGACGGUCCAAUGUCUGUCCGUCGUUCUUGCCGCCUUGACAGUCAUUUGCUUUGCAUCAGGUUGCUUCCUUGCCCAUCCUUUGCUUUGCAUCAGGUUGCUUCCUUGCCCGUCCUUUUCCUUUACAUCAGGUUGAACCGUUGAGGUGUUUUUUGGCAGCCCACUCUGUUUUGCUUCUGCUCUGCGGCCAGGGGAGCCGUCGACAUCAUUGUCUGUUAAUGCUCCACAUCGGCUAGAGGUUAGAAGUGCAAACAUGGGGAUUUCAUCGAUCAAGGAUGUGUCGGGCCCAAGCUACCGGUGGAAAGACAUUUUGCUCAUUGCAUGGUUCUAGGAAUAAAAGUAUCAAGAAACACAUCAAAAUUUAUAUAAGUUGGACUUCACUUUGUUGGCCGUGAGGUUUAGUCGUCCCUGUGGCAGUUGUGGUCGAUGAUGAAGGCAGCGGCGUCUUCCCGGCCGCGGUGAACGGGCAUGCUUUUGUCCUCCUUGGUGCCUGUCGUAAGCCGAGUUCUCUGUCCUGGCGAUGAGGAGGGGCGAGCUGCGGAUGGCCAGGAUCAACGCGUUGCUAGAUAGUAUUCUGUUAUGUAUAGCCAGAGGACCAUGAAAGAUACAUAAGGUUUCCGGUAUAAUUAUCCCUUCUAUAUUUCUUACUUACACUGAUUUAUUCAGUAGAGAUUUUGACCAGAUAUAAAGUAUCUGCCCGCAACAUACUAUACUGAUGUAUAAUCAAAUUUGCAGAGCUUGCAUUGGCAUUGUAGAAGACGAUACUUUGGUCUUUGACUAUAUAGUAGAUUUGACGCUGAAAGUGACCAUCUUCAGGUACAAUAGAUGCGAGAAGAUCCAGGACCACCGUGCUUAGAGAUCAACGUGAAAUAAUCUUUUGUUCAUCGGUAUAGCAAUCAUGCUAUGACUUAGGUUCUCUAUAUAUAAUAGUUCUUUUGCAUUACCCUCUGAGAUUACCAAUUGAUCAUCCAUUGCAGUACGAUGAUCAAUAUGCAGGAGUUAUUAUUACGAGACUGAAUUUAUGUGUGUCUCUGAUGCCCGCUUAUUUACUUGGUCCUCAAGAUCAACCUUUUAUGCACAAAAUUUGUGUGUACCUUGUAUCAGAUUUUAUCACCAACCAUCUUAAAACCCAUUGUUUAAACCAGUGAAUCUUCAUUACUUCCAUCAAUUCAAGUGUGGGUUUAAAAUUAUUACUGC